AAAUAUAUUAUUUUCUGUAUGCUUUGCGAUUGUUGCUUUGUUUCGCCACACAUUGCUAUACGAUUUUAGUUGUAAACUUAAUUUAAUGUUCUCAUAUAACUGAAUAUUGUAUUCUUUUUUUUUAAUUUUAUUUAAUACUUAUAAUGUAACAUCAAUUGU